rnacentral:rRNA from 1 species
UGCAGUCGACGAAUCCCGGUAGCAAUACCGGGGGAAGUGGCGAAAGGGGCAGUAAGGCGUGGGUAACUUGCCCCGGGGACCGGGAUAGCCCUUCUAACGAGGGGGUAAUACCGGGCGCCGUGGCCGGGGGGCAUCCCCUGGCCACGAAACGAUCUCUCGCCCCGGGAGAGGCUCACGUAGUAUUAGCUUGUUGGCGGGGUGACGGCCCACCAAGGCCAAGAUGCUUAGCGGGUGUGAGAGCACGACCCGCGCCACUGGCACUGAGACACUGGCCAGACUCCUACGGGAGGCUGCAGUCGAGGAUCUUCGGCAAUGGGCGCAAGCCUGACCGAGCGACGCCGCGUGUGCGACGAAGGCCUUCGGGUUGUAAAGCACUGUCGGGGGGGAGGAAAGCCCGAAAGGGCCUGACCGACCCCCGGAGGAAGCACGGGCUAAGUUCGUGCCAGCAGCCGCGGUAAGACGAACCGUGCGAACGUUGUUCGGAAUCACUGGGCUUAAAGGGCGCGUAGGCGGGCCGCCGAGUCCGGGGUGAAAGCCCCCAGCUCAACUGGGGAAGUGCCCCGGAGACCGGCGGCCUCGAGGGGGGUAGGGGCGUGCGGAACUUCCGGUGGAGCGGUGAAAUGCGUAGAUAUCGGAAGGAACGCCGGUGGCGAAAGCGGCGCGCUGGACCCCUCCUGACGCUGAGGCGCGAAAGCCNGGGGAGCGAACGGGAUUAGAUACCCCGGUAGUCCUGGGCCCUAAACGAUGGGCACUNNUAGUGGGCUUGACAUGGGCCCACUGCCGGAGCAAAGUGUUAAGUGCCCGCCUGGGGAGUAUGGUCGCAAGGCUGAACUCAAAGGAUUGACG